UACAGAGGGUGCGAGCGUUUGUUCGGAAUUAUUGGGCGUAAAGCGCUUGUAGGCGGCUUGUUAAGUUCCGUGUGAAAUCCCCAGGCUUAACCUGGGAAGUGCGCGGAAAACUGGCGAGCUUGAGUGCCGGAGAGGGUCGCGGAAUUCCCGGUGUAGAGGUGAAAUUCGUAGAUAUCAGGAGGAACACCAGUGGCGAAGGCGGCGACCUGGACGGACACUGACGCUGAGACGCGAAAGCGUGGGGAGCAAACAGG
rnacentral:rRNA from 1 species